CCGGGCUUAGUCACCCUUGAUAUGGGUUUCUGGUUCUAUACCACACCUCUGGCCAGAGACAAGAACUUAGAGGCAUCUUUCCUGCCUAGCAGACUGGAUUCCCCACUUCUCUGUUGCUUCCUUCAGACAGACCAUUCAGGCAUUUGCCAGUGAAUUGAGAGUGACCACACCCUAUUUCUUUACCUACAUUGUUAACUGUCUUGCUGUCUCUGUCUGACUUCUUAUUCCUGCCUCAUGUAACCUAGAGAAGGAGGACUGCCCUUCAGACUCAUUAUGCCCUUUCUGUCCAGGAUCUGUCCUGCCUCAAGAUGUAGCCACCGAGUCUCAGAAAAAGAAAAAUGACCUUGAGACUUGAGACGGCAUAACCUGGUGUUGAGUCUCUGUGUCAUAUAUGC
rnacentral:lncRNA from 1 species